CUUCUCUUCUACCCUGGUGGGCACUACUGCUUCCUCGGUGGGCAUUGUCACAACCACAAGAGUUUUUCCUCAGGGAUCCUCUGCUGACACAGCUCCAGGAGUCUCAAGCAAUGGAAUUCCUCCAGAACUCGUUGAAUUGCCAUCAAAACAGCCAGAAGUAACAGAAACCACUGGAAAAGGAGAAGAAGACCAAGAAGCAAAAUAUAAAACAGGUUGUCCAGCUGCCCUGCCUCCGCCUCCAG